GACGAACGCUGGCGGCGUGCUUAACACAUGCAAGUCGAACGGAAAGGCCCUGCUUUUGUGGGGUGCUCGAUUGGCGAACGGGUGAGUAACACGUGAGUAACCUGCCCUUGACUUUGGGAUAACUUCAGGAAACUGGGGCUAAUCCCGUAUAGGAUCUCCUGCUGCAUGGUGGGGGUUGGAAAGUUUCGGCGGUUGGGGAUGGACUCGCGGCUUAUCAGCUUGUUGGUUGGGUAGUGGCUUACCAAGGCUUUGACGGGUAGCCGGCCUGAGAGGGUGAACGGCCACAUUGGGACUGAGAUACGGACCAGACUCCUACGGGAGGCAGCAGUGGGGAAUAUUGCACAAUGGGAGGAAGCCUGAUGCAGAAACGCCGCGUGCGGGAUGACGGCCUUCGGGUUGUAAACCGCUUUCGCCUGUGACGAAGCGUGAGUGACGGUAAUGGGUAAAGAAGCACCGGCUAACUACGUG
rnacentral:rRNA from 1 species